ensembl:lncRNA
UCCAAUCCUUGUGGACCUAUCAAACUUUCACCACCAAAAAAAAAAAAAAAAAUGGAUGCCCUGAUUUACACUCCUCAUUUUUUAUCUUGUCCUUUUUGCCUGUUUUAUGGAAACACUCCUACUACAUCUGUUUCAUCUAUGGAUACUCAGCGGAACAAUCUGCAAACGCUGUUUCUUAGCAACCUAAUCACGCCACCUGAUCUCAGACCAUCUUUGAACCAUUGGAGCUACAUUUAGCUUCAGUGUUGCUUCCCAAAAUAAUACAGCCUGCCCCAAGUCCACGGUUACUGGAGGAAAAGCAUUUGUGUGACCGAGUUACAAAAUGACAUCUCCACUCCCCAAGAAUGACUAUUUUUACUUGAAAAACAAUGACUGAUUAACAAGCUAUAGUCAGAGAUUUAUGAAUAAUUUCCUUAAAAUGAAUGAAUGAUUUCCGGGAAAUCUGUUUGUGGGAGAACUGUGAGGCCGGUCUAAAGCUGAGAUGUCAAUCAGAGGCAGCAGUGUAGGGGAGAAGCCAGAUGGCUCACUGCUGCUCUUCACAUUGGAAGAAUGACAAGUGUGG